rnacentral:rRNA from 1 species
UACGUAGGGGGCUAGCGUUGUCCGGAUUUAUUGGGCGUAAAGAGCGUGUAGGCGGCCAGGUAGGUCUGCUGUGAAAACUCGAGGCUCAACCUCGAGACGUCGGCGGAAACCAUCUGGCUAGAGUCCGGAAGAGGAGAGUGGAAUUCCUGGUGUAGCGGUGAAAUGCGCAGAUAUCAGGAAGAACACCCGUGGCGAAGGCGGCUCUCUGGGAAGCAUCUGACGCUCAGGUGCGAAAGCUAGGGGAGCGAACGGG